AUUUAAUUUAACCGACCUGAGACGGGGCCCAGUUUGGCUCAUUUGACCAAGCAAAUGCGAGAGACGGCUGAGUUGACCGCAGUCAAACAUGGUGGGAAAAAUAACACUGAGGCGAAGUUGCAGAACACUGAAAAAUAAGUAUUGGAGCUGCGUAGCCUGUCUGGAGGCAAAUCUCAGGUCGGUGGCCUUUUCUACAGCUCUCGUGGAAUCUGGCUCGGAAACCAUUGGGUUCUAAUAGGCUACACCACUUAAGUAUAAGAGGGUCAUCUCCAUAAGAGGGUCAUCUCCAUAAGAGGGUCAUCUCCAACACUGGAAAUAACUACAAUCCUACAACAGGCAUAUUUUCAGCAACCGUCAAAGGAACCUACUUCUUUCGUUUCACGAUGUACAACAAUGUUUCUCCUACUCCAAACUCUGUUAGCCUAAUGAAGAAUGAUGUGCGGCUUACGUCAGUAUGGCACACCUCAGGGUCUGAUGCGAAUGACUGGUAGCAACGCUGUGGUUAUCCCCCUCGAGGUGGGAGAUCAUGUGUAUGUGGAUCUCCAGGCAAACAGGAUGGUCUAUGUCUGAUGAU